GUGCUUGAUGUCGGUCUCCUUGAGGUCUCGUACUUUCUUCACAGCUACCUCCUCCCCAUGGAAGCGCCCCAGGAAGACAGCUCCCUGGGCCCCGGAGCCUACCCACUGCAGGUCCAGGAUUUCCUCAAAAGGAACCUCCCAAAGAUCUCAGACUUAGGGAGACUCGGAGAGAGCUCAGACAGGGACCUGGCCUACCUUCCUGCUGCUGCUUGUGUUCCGUGGAGUAGGCUUUGCCAAUCAUGGUCCAGACUGGGCGCAGGCAGCCGAAGAGGCCUUCAAGGAAGCCACUGCCACUCUGGCACUGUAGCCGCACCUCGUCAGCUCGUACUCUAGAUGCCCGACUCUCAGCUCUCCAAACCAAGAUCCAAUUUUCCAGGACAAGGAGAUUUAUCCCAAUUCAUAGCUGGCUGUUAUUUAAAAACCAAUCAUUGCGAAGCCGGGUGCAGUGGUGCACGCCUGCAAUCUCAGUAGCUUGGGAGGCUGAGGCAGGAGGAUCGCCUCA